rnacentral:lncRNA from 1 species
UGGGAGAGGAAAGUGAUGUUUUGAAGAGUAAGCAUCCAAAAUUUUGAAACUUAUGCACUCCUUCUUUGAGGAAAUUUCAUACCUCUUGUUUAGGAAUGGAUAAAGCCACUUAUUAUACUUGUUGUAAAUGAUCGACACUAGUAAGCAUUCAAAUAUUUGAAACUUAUGCACUCCUUCUUUGAGGAAAUUUCAUACCUCGUGUUUAGGAAUGGAUAAAGCCACUUAUUAUACUUGUUGUAAAUGAUUGGCACUAACAUUUUGUCACGACCAAAAUCUAGAGGGCCACGAAUGGCUCGCGAUGAGCCAGCGUCUGCAGAGAGAGCACUUAACGUCGUUGUAUCAACUACCCAUAAAGCAUACAUUGGGGUUCCAAGCGAUCCUACAUUGUCACACGUCAGCUAAAUGAGGCAUAACUUCCCAUCGAAGCGAACACACAUAUCUGAAUUAAGCCUUGACGAGAGAUACAAUCUAUUUACGGUCCCAAGUACUUACACAUCAAUCCAUAGUAAAGUAUGGAGCGUCUAAUGAAUAAGGUUAUACAUAAACCGAAACUGGAUGUAGCCCAUCAAUAAGUAAAGGUAGAAAUAUCAAAGGAGGCCGCCGCCAAUCUAGUGUGGGGCUCUCCGCAGAAGCUCUAUCUAGUGGUGCUCAAGCCUCGUAGAUGGAGAUGUCGACUGAACCUGUAAGACCUGAAGGUAGAUGGACGGAGUAUACUCAGCAAAUCUGAUAGACCUGCCUCUAAAAGUUGGGACAAGUCUUAAGAGAAAACAUGCAUUUGUAUGAAAGGUCAUAACUUUGGAAAACUUGAAUGUUUCAUAUGGAUACAUUAGUUCUAAAGUCAUAAAUGUGUACAUACUACCCUCCCUAACUCCACUAGUGAGAAUAUACUAGAUAAGAAAACUUGACUGUUAUAUGGAGACAUUAGUUCUAAAGUCAUAAAUAUGUAAAAAAUUAUGAUAAGAGUUUCAAGGUUGGGGUAAAGAUUGCGUACAUACUAACCUCCCUAACUUUACUUGUGUGAAUAUACUGGGUAUGUUGUGUUGUAGUUUCUUUGAAACAUAAUAUUCCUUUAACAUUAGGCAACCUAGCGCAAACGAGGCAUAAAACGUCAUAAUUACAAAUCAUAAAAAUUACUUUACAAUGUCAUGCACCUCAUACAACAUUCCUGAAACUUAUGCAGCCUGUAUCUACGCUUGGUGCACAAUGCGGCACCAGCUAAUCUUUGGCGACUUAUAUUGCUUGGCAAGUUGUGCAGGCACCAGAGAGUCUACGAUGUCGAAAGCUUUUUAUCCCAGCUUGGCGCACUAUGCCAAUAUCCAGACAGUUUAUAGCGACACUCUUAUAUCUGC